CCGCCUGCUGCAAAGGGGCAGCCCAAGCGCUAAAGAGCCCCUAGGUGGGGGAGCAGCUGCUCCAGGAGGGGCUCAGUUGAGUCCUGGGGGAGGAACGCUUCAGUCCAGAGCAGAUUCUCUCCGAGUGCCCUCUUAGCCCCUGAAAUGCUCUGCGCUCACCUCCCUGAAGCCAGAAGAGAACGGAGCAAUGCUUAGCUUCGGUGAAGUGUGCUCUCAGUGGGGAACUUUCAGAUACCAGUCAGACACAAAAUGUCUUUUCUGCCUGCUUCACCCUUCCCAAGCAGAGGUUCCACACCUAAUACGGGGCUUGAACUCACAACCCUGAGAUCAAGAGUCACAUGUUCUACCGACUGAACCAGCCAGAUGCCCCUGCAGUAAUUUUGAAUUUAAAAAGUUGAUAUCUUCUUUA